AUUAUUAUAUUUGAAAUAUAUAUACUGAAUGAUGAUGGUUUAAUAAUUUUAUAUUAGUUUUUAUCUAUUUUUUGGGGCCCCUGUCAGUCAUGGGCCCUUGAAAUUGUCCUAACUUUUCCUGCCUAUAUGGCGCCCCUGUUCACACCAGAGAUAAU